rnacentral:rRNA from 1 species
GAUGAACGCUAGCUACAGGCUUAACACAUGCAAGUCGAGGGGAAACGACAUCGAAAGCUUGCUUUUGAUGGGCGUCGACCGGCGCACGGGUGAGUAACGCGUAUCCAACCUGCCCAUCACUUGGGGAUAACCUUGCGAAAGUAAGACUAAUACCCAAUGAUAUCUCUAGAAGACAUCUGAAAGAGAUUAAAGAUUUAUCGGUGAUGGAUGGGGAUGCGUCUGAUUAGCUUGUUGGCGGGGUAACGGCCCACCAAGGCAACGAUCAGUAGGGGUUCUGAGAGGAAGGUCCCCCACAUUGGAACUGAGACACAGUCCAAAAUCCUACGGGAGGCAGCAGUGAGGAAGAUUGGUCAAUGGGCGAGAGCCUGAACCAGCCAAGUAGCGUGCAGGAAGACGGCGCUAUGGGUGGUAAACUGCUUUUAUAAGGGAAUAAAGUGAGAGUCGUGACUCUUUUUGUAUGUACCUUAUGAAUAAGGACCGGCUAAUUCCGUG